rnacentral:rRNA from 1 species
UGGGGAAUUUUGGACAAUGGGCGAAAGCCUGAUCCAGCAAUGCCGCGUGUGUGAAGAAGGCCUUCGGGUUGUAAAGCACUUUUGUCCGGAAAGAAAUCCUUGGCUCUAAUACAGUCGGGGGAUGACGGUACCGGAAGAAUAAGCACCGGCUAACUACGUGCCAGCAGCCGCGGUAAUACGUAGGGUGCAAGCGUUAAUCGGAAUUACUGGGCGUAAAGCGUGCGCAGGCGGUUUGCUAAGACCGAUGUGAAAUCCCCGGGCUCAACCUGGGAACUGCAUUGGUGACUGGCAGGCUAGAGUAUGGCAGAGGGGGGUAGAAUUCCACGUGUAGCAGUGAAAUGCGUAGAGAUGUGGAGGAAUACCGAUGGCGAAGGCAGCCCCCUGGGCCAAUACUGACGCUCAUGCACGAAAGCGUGGGGAGCAAACAGGAUUAGAUACCCUGGUAGUCCACGCCCUAAACGAUGUCAACUAGUUGUUGGGGAUUCAUUUCCUUAGUAACGUAGCUAACGCGUGAAGUUGACCGCCUGGGGAGUACGGUCGCAAGAUUAAAACUUAAAGGAAUUGACGGGGUCAUAGCUGUUUCC